rnacentral:rRNA from 1 species
CUUCCGUAGGGUGAACCUGCGGAAGGAUCAUUAAAAAUGAAGCCGGGAAACCGGUCCUUCUAACCCUUGAUUAUAAUAAUUUGUUGCUUUGGUGGGCCGCGCAAGCACCGGCUUCGGCUGGAUCGUGCCCGCCAGAGGACCACAACUCUGUAUCAAAUGUCGUCUGAGUACUAUAAAAUAGUUAAAACUUUCAACAACGGAUCUCUUGGUUCUGGCAUCGAUGAAGAACGCAGCGAAAUGCGAUAAGUAAUGUGAAUUGCAGAAUUCAGUGAAUCAUCGAAUCUUUGAACGCACAUUGCGCCCUCUGGUAUUCCGGAGGGCAUGCCUGUUCGAGCGUCAUAAUGACCAAAUCACCCCCGUGGUGGACUUGGAGUUGGCCCGUAUCGGCCUCUCUUAAAAUCAGUGGCGGUGCUCUUAAAGCUCUACGCGUAGUAAUUUUCUCGCUACAGGGUCUUGAUUGUACUUGCCAACAACCCCAACUUAUUAUAAGGUUGACCUCGGAUCAGGUAGGGAUACCCGCUGAACUUAAGCAUAUCAAUAAGCGGAGGAAA